rnacentral:rRNA from 1 species
CCUACGGGAGGCUGCAGUGAGGAAUAUUGGUCAAUGGGCGGAAGCCUGAACCAGCCAAGUCGCGUGAGGGAAUAAGGCCCUACGGGUCGUAAACCUCUUUUGCCGGGGAGCAAGGGCGGCGACGUGUCCCGGCCCGGAGAGUACCCGGAGAAAAAGCAUCGGCUAACUCCGUGCCAGCAGCCGCGGUCAUACGGAGGAUGCGAGCGUUAUCCGGAUUUAUUGGGUUUAAAGGGUGCGCAGGCGGCCUGUUAAGUCAGCGGUAAAAGCCCGGGGCUCAACCCCGUCGAGCCGUUGAAACUGGCGGUCUGGAGUUGGAGAGAAGUACGCGGAAUGCGCGGUGUAGCGGUGAAAUGCUUAGAUAUUGCGCAGAACUCCGAUUGCGAAGGCAGCAUACCGGCGGCGAUCUGACGCUGAGGCACGAAAGCGUGGGUAUCGAACAGGAUUAGAUACCCGUGUAGGC